rnacentral:rRNA from 1 species
CCUACGGGUGGCAGCAGUGGGGAAUAUUGCACAAUGGGGGAAACCCUGAUGCAGCGACGCCGCGUGAGUGAAGAAGUAUCUCGGUACGUAAAGCUCUAUCAGUAGGGAAGUAAAUGACGGUACCUGACUAAGAAGCUCCGGCUAACUACGUUCCAGCAGCCGCGGUAAGACGCAGGGGGCAAGCGUUAUCCGGAUUUACCGGGUGUAAAGGGAGCGUAGACGGCAGCACAAGUCAGGAGUGAAAUUCCGGGGCUUAACCCCGGAACUGCAUUGGAAACUGUGCGGCUGGAGUGCAGGAGAGGUAAGCGGAAUGCCUGGUGUAGCGGUGAAAUGCGUAGAUAUUAGGAAGAACACCGAUGGCGAAGGCAGCUUACUGGACUGUAACUGACGUUGAGGCUCGAAAGCGUGGGGAGCAAACAGGAUUAGAUACCCUAGUAGUC